GAUGAACGCUAGCUACAGGCUUAACACAUGCAAGUCGAGGGGAAACGACAUCGAAAGCUUGCUUUUGAUGGGCGUCGACCGGCGCACGGGUGAGUAACGCGUAUCCAACCUGCCCAUCACUUGGGAAUAACCUUGCGAAAGUAAGACUAAUACCCAACGAUAUCCCACGAAGGCAUCGGAAUGGGAUUAAAGAUUUAUCGGUGAUGGAUGGGGAUGCGUCUGAUUAGCUUGUUGGCGGGGUAACGGCCCACCAAGGCAACGAUCAGUAGGGGUUCUGAGAGGAAGGGCCCCCACAGUGGAACUGAGACACGGGCCAAACGACUACGGGAGGCAGCAGUGAGGAAUAUUGGGCAGUGGACGAGAGCCUGAAGCAGGCAAGUAGAGUGCAGGAAGACGGCCCGAUGGGUUGUAAACUGCUGUUAUAAGGGAAUAAAGGGGGGCACGGGUGACUUUUUGCAGGUACCUUAUGAAUAAGGACCGGCUAAUUCCGUG
rnacentral:rRNA from 1 species